rnacentral:rRNA from 1 species
UACGGAGGGUGCAAGCGUUACUCGGAAUCACUGGGCGUAAAGAGCGCGUAGGCGGGAUAGCAAGUCAGCUGUGGAAGUCCGCGGCUCAACCGUGGAAUUGCAGUUGAAACUGGAGGCCUUGAGUGCACACAGGGGUGCCGGAAUUCAUGGUGUAGCGGUGAAAUGCUUAGAUAUCAUGAAGAACUCCGAUCGCGAAGGCAAGUGUCCGGGGUGCAACUGACGCUGAGGCUCGAAAGCGUGGGUAUCGAACAGG